GGUGGCGAGUGGCGAACGGGUGAGUAAUGUAUCGGAACGUGCCUAGUAGCGGGGGAUAACUACGCGAAAGCGUAGCUAAUACCGCAUACGCCCUACGGGGGAAAGCAGGGGAUCGCAAGACCUUGCACUAUUAGAGCGGCCGAUAUCGGAUUAGCUAGUUGGUGGGGUAACGGCUCACCAAGGCGACGAUCCGUAGCUGGUUUGAGAGGACGACCAGCCACACUGGGACUGAGACACGGCCCAGACUCCUACGGGAGGCAGCAGUGGGGAAUUUUGGACAAUGGGGGAAACCCUGAUCCAGCCAUCCCGCGUGUGCGAUGAAGGCCUUCGGGUUGUAAAGCACUUUUGGCAGGAAAGAAACGUCAUGGGUUAAUACCCCGUGAAACUGACGGUACCUGCAGAAUAAGCACCGGCUAACUACGUGCCAGCAGCCGCGGUAAUACA
rnacentral:rRNA from 1 species